rnacentral:rRNA from 1 species
GUAAUCGCGAAUCAGCAUGUCGCGGUGAAUACGUUCCCGGGCCUUGUACACACCGCCCGUCACACCAUGAGAGUUGGCAAUACCCAACGUACGUGAUCUAACCCGCAAGGGAGGAAGCGUCCUAAGGUAGGGUCAGCGAUUGGGGUGAAGUCGUAACAAGGUAAC